rnacentral:rRNA from 1 species
UACAGAGGGUGCGAGCGUUGUCCGGAAUUACUGGGCGUAAAGGGCGCGUAGGCGGCCUGAUAAGUAGGGGGUGAAAUUCCGUGGCUCAACCACGGAACUGCCUUCUAGACUGCCAGGCCUGAGCACGGUAGAGGCAGAUGGAAUUCCCGGUGUAGCGGUCGGGAAUGCGUAGAGAUCGGGGAAGAACACCAGUGGCGAAGGCGGUCUGCUGGGCCGUGCUGACGCUGGAUGCGCGACAGCGUGGGGAGCAAACAGG